rnacentral:rRNA from 1 species
UACGUAGGUGGCAAGCGUUGUCCGGAUUUAUUGGGUUUAAAGGGUGCGUAGGCGGCCCUGUAAGUCAGUGCUGAAAUAUCCCGGCUUAACCGGGAGGGUGGCAUUGAUACUGCAGGGCUUGAAUGAAGUUGAAGUGGGCGGAAUUGACGGUGUAGCGGUGAAAUGCUUAGAUAUCGUCAAGAACACCGAUAGUGAAGACAGCUCACUAAGCUUAUAUUGACGCUGUAGGCACGAAAGUGUGGGGAUACAAA